ACUCGAGUGUUCACCGGUGGGAGGCACGCUCCGUUUCAGAGUGGGAACCCCCGGGCAUCCCUGCCCCUGAAACACACUCAGGGCACCCUAAACCCUGUUAACCUGAGUGUUCUGUGUCGGUGGGCAGCGGGUGGCCAGCCUGCCGGACCCAGGCGUGUGGGCGUUCUGAGGACAGACGGCGGACUGGAGGCCGGGCGAUAGGCAGCGGGAGGACCAGGGCUCUGCGGAACCCUGACUCUAGGCGCCUGAACCAGCAUUGGGGUGGCGCAGCCGACGCCAACCUCCUCCCCGCCUUUUCCAUUUCCCUUUUCUCUCCGUAAACAGAAAGAGCCUGUCGGCUGGCCCGGAACACAAGAACCCCCGCGCUGGGAAAUUCCGUCCUCCCACCCUCGGGCCCCGGGGCGCGGGAUGGAGAUGGAGGCGGAACCGGGCGGAGCGGUGGUGAGAAUCCACCCCACCCCGGGCUUGUGUCCCCA
rnacentral:lncRNA from 1 species